rnacentral:snoRNA from 2 species
CCCCUCUCAGGGUCCCACCUGGAGAGUUCCCAGUACUCUACCAGACUCGACUACAGGAGGGAAAGUCAGGCAUAGGCCUAUCCAUUCCAUCCCUAGCUUGAGCAGUGGCUAGCGAGUGGAAGGCCAUCUGCUACAAGU